rnacentral:lncRNA from 1 species
AUUAAUAAUCUAAUUGCAAGAAAUAAAAAAGUUGAGGACCAAGAUAAAGAGUAUGUAAUGAUUGGGGACCAUCGGUGCAAUUAACCCUUGUCAAAAUGAUCGUAAAUAUUUGGACAGGAAUGCCAUAUCGGCAGCUUGACUAUCAAGACCAAACUAAAAAAAUUUGAAAAAAAAUUAUAAACCAAUAGUAAAUUUAAUUCUAAAGAUUAAAAAUCUAAUUGCAAGAAAUAAAAUAGUUGGGGGCCAAGAUAAAAUGUAUGUAAUGAUUGGGGACCAUAUGUGCAAUUAACCCUUGUCAAAAUGAUCGCAAAUAUUUGGACAUGAAUGUCAUAUCGGCAGCUUGACUAUCAAGACCAAACUAAAAAAAUUUGAAAAAAAAAAUUAUGGACCAAUAGUAAAUUUAAUUCUAAAGAUUAAAAAUCUAGUUGCAAGAAAUAAAAAAGUUGGGGACCAAGAUAAAAAGUAUGUAAUGAUUGGGGACCAUCGGUGCAAUUAACUCUUGUCAAAAUGAUCGUAAAUAUUUGGACAGGAAUGUCAUAUCGGCAGCUUGACUAUCAAGACCAAACUAAAAAAAUUGGAAAAAAAAUUAUGGACCAAUAGGAAAUUUAAUUCUAAAUAUUAAAAAUCUAAUUGCAAGAAAAAAAAUAGUUGGGGACCAAGAUAAAAUGUAUGCAAUGAUUGGGGACCAUCUGUGCAAUUAACCCUUGUCAAAAUGAUCGCAAAUAUUUGGACAUGAAUGUCAUUUCGGCAGCUUGACUAUCAAGACCAAACUAAAAAAAUUUGAAAAAAAAAUUAUGGACCAAUAGUAAAUUUAAUUCUAAAGAUUAAAAAUCUAGUUGCAAGAAAUAAAAAAGUUGGGUAUCAAGAUAAAAAGUAUGUUAUGAUUGGGGACCAUCGGUGCAAUUAACCCUUGUCAAAAUGAUCGUAAAUAUUUGGACAGGAAUGUCAUAUCGGCAGCUUGACUAUCAAGACCAAACUAAAAAAGUUUGAAAAAAAAAUUAUGGACCAAUAGUAAAUUUAAUUCUAAAGAUUAAAAAUCUAGUUGCAAGAAAUAAAAAAGUUGGGGACCAAGAUAAAAAGUAUGUAAUGAUUGGGGACCAUUGGUGCAAUUAACCCUUGUCAAAAUGAUCACAAAUAUUUGGGCAGGAAUGUCAUAUUGGCAGCUUGUCUAUUAAGACCAAACUAAAAAAUUUUGGAAAAGUUUAUGGGCCAAUAGUAAAAUUAAUUCUGAAGAUUAAAAAUGUCACGCUUCGGAUUACAAUGUCUUUCCGGGCACGCCAACAGACCCGUCGUAUACAUAAAAUUUUUUUCUGUAUACGAAAUGAUAGCUGCACCUGUAAACAAAAUCAAGCUACAACCACAAGGUAAAGAGCUGCUAAACUGAAUAUAAACAUAUAUAUAAAAAGCUCGAGGGGUUCCUGUACAUACAAAAUGUCUACAAUCCACCUUGCUCCAGCAACUGCAACGACAACAUCGCAGUAUGUACAAAAAAGCCCAAAACUACCUCUGGAUAGGUGCUCCUCUAGUUGGCAAUCAGGGAAGGGAUGGCUCUAACUCGCGACUCUCUUGCCUUGGUCGAAAUCCACAACAGCAGCAGUCACGGACGAAGGCUCUGCAAAAACGGGUCAACAACUGAGUGUGAGAACUAUUAUAAAACAAGUAGUCCUCAGUGGGUAUCGCCACCGACCUCAAUGGCUUACCCACUAAGUCUACAGAAAUAUGUGUAAGGGAUAGUAAUGCAAAUUGGAAAGAACUGUACAGCUACAUGCUACUAUACUACCGCUAAUCACUACGAGCUAUCUGUAGAUAUAGAAAUACAUCCUCUGACCCAAUCUCACUAGGGACUGCGAUACGCCCAUCCCGCUUGUCGAAACUAUCCUGUACACCACCCCGAGGGUAGCCGGUGGAGAAAAUCUCUCUGGGGACUGCGGUACGUUCGUCCCGCCUGUCUAGGCUACACUGUACACCACCUUGAGAAUAGCCGGUGGAGAAAUCUCUCCAGGGACUGCGAUACGCCCGUCCCGCCUGUCUAGGCUACACCGUACACCACCUCGAGAAUAGCCGGUGGAGAAAACUCUCUAGGGACUGCGAUACGCCCGUCCCGCUUGUCUAGGCUACACCGUACACCACGUCGAGAGUAGCCGGUGGAGAAAACUCUCUAGGGACUGCAAUAUGCCCGUGCCGCCUGUCUAGGCUACACCGUACACCAUCUCGAGAGUAGCCGGUGGAGAAAACUCUCUAGGUACUGCGAUACGCCUGUCCCGCCUGUCUAGGCUAUACCAUACACCAUCUCGAGAGUAGUCUGUCUAAGUAACAGGUUCGACAGGACUGUUGCGACUUAACACACGUCACAACCUCACUGAGGGUAGAGAAUCACUAACUAUCACUGACCCAACCUUACACGGGCUGCCCAAACGGACCCACCCUGCUUGUAUCCAGCUCAAGAACCAUCCAAACAAAAACUGCGACCUCAUCGCAUGAAACCUCAUUCCGGAAUGGCAUUCGUGAGUGCGACCCAACUGAGUUUACAAGUGUCUCUGCCGAGUUCAACCAGGCUCUCACAAACUGUAAUCACUGUAACUGGGUCAAACUAAUCUAUCCACUAGAACUCACGUGCCUUGGUAUAAUCUGAUGCAAAAUACAGAAAUCCGGGUUCACCGUCAACCACGACGGCACCCAACAGUACGAAACAGUCUACACCCUACUGUAAAACAAACUCGGCAUCCCAGCACGAGCAUAAACUCAUCCUACCCUAAUCUGGGUAUCCACCGCAUACGAAUAGCGGCGAUACAAAAGAAUCACAGCUCCUAAAGCUAAAUCUGGUAAUUUUUCAGAAAAAAUGACAGUGAAGGAUUUAGAGUGUUUUCUCUUAAGUCAAUUCCAAGUCCAACAUGUAUACAAACACUAGUUUAACUCCAAAUUCAGAUUUUUUAGGCUCUAACAAACAAAUUCCAUGAAUUCGAGUACUAGCAAAGAAAUAAAACCAAUGAAACAUAUCGAUGAUGCUAGAACUUAGGAGGAAAUUCGACGAUUUCGGUAAACAUUAACCCACCUCGAAAAGCUUGUCCAACAACAACGAGAAAUCAAAAGGAGAGAAUCCACGCGCUCGCCUGGCCUCCAACGGCGCAACCACAAUGCCCACGCGCUCGAACGGCCCUUCGGAUCAACAUCAACAACCUCUCGGGCUCGAGCCGCGACCUCCACCACGAGCACGUCCAAAAACUAGAGAGAGAGUGGGAGCAGCAAACAAACCCUCUUCUCAGAGCUCUAUACAAAUACAUAGAGGCUGAGAAUAAGGUUGAGAUUAUCGACACUUCAAAAGACCAAACUAUCCCUUAUCUACUCAAAAAUUCAGCUGGUGUACCGAUACUCUAUUUGAAUACCGGUACUUAGGCCUUCAGCCCGCAGGUUUGCACACUAGGUACCGGUACCAGCCCGAUACAGUACCGGUACCUGAGCUCGAUACCGGUACUCAAAGACAGGUACCAGUACUCAGCAUCAGCCUCGCGCGAACCCAAGAGCAUCCUAUUUUGUAAUUCCACCGGGGUACUAGUACACCUCUUUGAUACCGGUACUCAACACUAAAAUCCUGCACUUUGCGGAUUUCAGUGUCAGAACUCCACCCUCGCUUCCCGUUGAGUUCGUUUUGCGUCCAUUCCGCGUCAAAACGACUCCGACUUGUCCCGACACUCUCCAGAUGUGUCGACAAGUAUCAGAUGCUAAAAUCUCACAAGCAUCCAAACACCAUGGACACUACAAAAAAAAUCUAAUUGCAAGAAAUAAAAAAGUUGGGGACUAAGAUAAAAGUAUGUAAUGGAUGGGGACCUUCGGUGCAAUUAACUCUUGUCAAAAUGAUCGCAAAUAUUUGAACAGAAAUAUGAUAUCGGCAGCUUGGUUAUCAAAAUUACCCUAUUUAUCCCCUAAGUUUUGCGCAAUAUUUUAAUUUAAUCACAUCCUUUUAAUUUUUACAAUGGCUUUCUAAAAUUUAUUAUUUGUUUCAAUCAAAUCCUUUCUGUCAAAAUAACUAUUAAUUUGAAUCAAAAUUGUCACUUCACUAUAUACCAAUUUUUAUUUAUCAUGUUGGUGCCAAAACCUUUCCACGCGGUGAUAUAAUCUCUGUUACUUUUUGACAAAAAGAUCUUGAUUGAGACAAGUGACUCAAUUAUAAAAAUUGGAAGAUUGAGAUCUGAGGGUGAAAAGAAAAAAAAAUCAAGUAAAAUUUAGGAUUCACUGAUGUAAUUGAUCCUAUAAUUAUUGACAUGGAUGAAUUAACCGAUUGAUCCCUGAAUAUUAGUUAUGCUUUAAUUUUGUCUCUAAAUUUGAUUUGUUGUAUCAGAGUUAUAAAAAAAAUCAAAUAAUUUUGCAUUUAGACCUUUGAUUAUCAAUUUUCAUUGUGUACAGAAAUUUAAUAUGGUUUGUAUAAAUUACUUUUUCGUAGUCCCUAAAUCCAUUAAAAAGAAGAAGAAGAAGAAAAUGGAGCAUUAUGUGUCCUUUUUCACAUGCAUGGUGUGGAAUACUUAGUUGACAUGUGACAUUUUUUUUUUUUUUUUUUGUUUCUUAAGAUGAAAAUCUACAGGUACUUUUAUUGAUCCGUAAAUAAAAAUGUACACGAAAAAAAAUAUAGGAAGGCAAAGUAGAUCGUUAACUAAAUACAUAUAGAAAAGUGUCCUAAAAAAUUAAAGAGAUAUGCAGAGACAAAUGCACGACUCUAUUAACCUCUAAAGAAAAUUCAAUGCAACUAUAACCAAUUAGCGCAAAUCAAAAAUUUAGAUGAGGGAGAAAGAGAAAGGGAAAGGCGGUAUGGUCAAUUAAACUUGGAUUAGAGCAAUUUGCUCAUUUUUCACCCUUGUAAUAUAGCAAAGAUUAAACCUCAAAGUAAAACAUAAAAAAUAGAUUGGGUACCAAUAGUGUGAAUUUAACUAAUUUUUUUUGCCUAAUGGAGCAGUUUAAUUUUGAUAAAUUCUUUAGUUAAACGGGAAAAAGUUAUUCAAAUCAAAUUUCAAAAAAAAAUUGCCAUAAUUUUGGUAAGGGCGGUUUCUAGAGUAAGACCGUUUCAUUUUCAUCAGCUGCUUUCUGUUAUGCAAAUAUCAUGAGUCUCAAUAUUGCGUGAAGAAAUGAAUAAAAAGGGGGGGUCAUAUUGGAUGAGUCCGACUACUGCUAUAUUUUUAUGAGUACGAUCACCUUUAUACUCAUAAGUCAUUUUUAAGAAUAAAGCUUUUGAAUCGACGAUCCAUACCGCUAAACAUUACUAGAGCAUUUAAAACUUUUAGAAAUCAAAUUUUAUAAUUUUUUUAUAUUAUUUUUCUUACGAUCAAAAGUUCUUAAAAUUGACAAUUUUUAAUGGCCGGUACGAAAUACUUGCUAGUUUAACGGCAUAAAAGAAUGAAAAUCGGUUGAAUUUUUGACAAAAAAAUUUAUUGACUAUUUAGAUAAAGAUCAAUAACUUUGAUUUUAAAUUAAAGUAUCCGAUCAUCAAUUUUUAGGAUGUCGUUCAAUUUUGACCAUUUAUUUUAUGCCCGCUAAAAUUUCGAAAAAUUACGAAAUUUAUUUUCUAAAAUUUUUAAAUAAUUUUGAUCAUAUUUAACAGUGUGGAUUAUCGAUUUGGAAGCUUCAUUAUUGAAAACAACUUAUGAGUAUGAAGGAUUUUUUUUUUCAUAAGAGUACAGUAGCCCCACUCCAUAUUGGAAAUCAUCUUCUCCGAAUUUUCUUUUUC